rnacentral:lncRNA from 1 species
GUCAGUGAAGAAUCAAAGGUGUUUUUUAAAUGUGUGGUUUGCGAUUUCAAGCUGGGUAUGAAAUGUGCUACACUUCCAUACAAAGCAAGACACGAGUAUGAUGAGCAUCCUCUCUUCCUCACCUACAUGAAUGAAAAUGACUACCAACCUUCCUGUAUAAUUUGUGAAAAAGAUAGAGACCCAAAGCUCUGGUUCUACCGUUGCGAGAAAUGCGACUUCGAUGCUCAUCCAGAGUGUGCUCUCGGGAAAUACCCAUAUGUCAAGCCAGGGGGGGUUCACACGUAUCCUAAACACCCUCACCCUCUUGUUUUGGUCGUCAAGACAGAGGAUUAUCGUCCACAGGCAUGCGAUACUUGUGGUGAGCCUUGCGACGACUUGGCCCUUGAAUGUACUGAUCCUAACUGCAGUUUUAUCGUCCACCGGGAUAGAUGGGAAUGCUAUGAGUCAUUAUGGUGAUUGGAUUGCAGUUGAUGGCUUUUUUCUUAUUUUUGGGUUAUGAUUGUUGGGGUGAAUGGUUAGCUUCAUACUUAUUAUCUCUGUUUCUAUUUUCGCAUAUCAGAUCACUUUUUUUGUUUCUCUAUCUGUUUUUUUUUUCUGAACAAUGGAUGCUAUUUUAUUAAAACUGUCAAGCUCUCCAUAAAUUCUGCAUUUACAUUUUUGUUAUAGAUUUUAUUGUAAAUGCAUAAAAAUAGUCAUAUAAAACAACACUUAUCUAACUGAUAUCAAUUAUUUUCAUUCAAAUAUUUAAUUUUUAUUUCCUUAACACAAUCUAAUAUUAAAUAAAUGUAUUUAAAUAAUAUUUAAAAUGAACACCUCAAGGGCAUUCGAUAACUUUGUCUUUUAAUAAGAUAUAUCAUGAAAAAGUAAGUUAAUUCAUGUUCUUGGUAUUUUUCUUCUUAAAAAGAGUAAGAAUAUUUGGUUAGAUCUGAUAAAUCAACGACGAUUUUUAAUUUAGAUAAAAAGCUUUUUUUAGCUCAAACCCAAUUUAAUUAUUUGAAAGUGUUAUUGAUUUUAAAGGAUUAUAAAAUUCUAAUUUUAUAGAAAAUAAAUCUUUUAAAAUCUUCUAAUAAAAUUUGAGAUAAAAAAAAAUCCUUUACAAGACUGCUUAUUUAAGAAAAAUAUCCAAUUAAAAAUCUCCAACCUUUGCAUGCUGCUAGCAACAUUCCCAGCCUUCUUGGAUUGUAUUUUUCUUAGUUGCUUGGUUUAUUUGUAGUAAAUUGGUAAGUACCAGCGAGUUAGGUUAAAAUUAGGUGCAUAUCUGAAGCAUUCCUUAAUGUUUGACGUCAUAGGAAUGUUCAUAUCGUGACAGUUAAGGUAUCCUUUUCUCUUUGGAAUUUAAGCAAAAAAAUUCUCUGUUUCAUCAAAUUGAGUCGACAUCGACUCAUAAAUUCCCUCAAUUAUAUCAUUCAAGCAAGAACAACUUGUUAUCGUCAAUCGACAUCACACCAAAUAAUUACGAUAACGAAAAAUAAAUUUGAUUAAUUAGCUGUACUGGACUUGGAAUUAAUGCAUUCACUGUUUUCUGAAACUUUUCCUAGUAGAUUUUCAACUUUGCUAUGAGUUUUCAAAACAUGAUAAAAAGAUUUAUAUUCUUUUAUUUUGUUCAAGCAACACUGACAUGGCAAUAAGCUAGCAUUGCACUGCUAUGGAUCGUGGCGAUUUGAUUUGUUUUCCAAUUUACAAUUUAGUCAAAUUCCAAGAAAACUAACACAAAAAAAGAGAGUAAAUGACCUGUUCAAAAUCUAAUUAGAAAUAAACUUCAUUUUUUGAUAUAUGGGAACUGAUUAUAAUGAUAACUUGACCAUUGAAACCUGAAAAGGCAUCCAUCUGAAGAUGCCACCUACAUGAUUUAAUGUCAUUUUAGUUUUUGCCGUAUACAAAAUUUUACAGCACAUUGAGCCAUGAAAGUGACCCGUUUUGGAAUGAGUCCAGAGGGGUCUUUGAAAUUGCAGUUAGAACGUGAUUUAAAAAAAAUUAUUUUUUAAUAUUUUUGUAUAGGUAUUGGUAUCAUAAAUAAAUUUUAAAAAAUAAAAAAUAAAAAUUUUAAUUCAUUUUUUUUUUUUUAAAAAAAAAAACAAUUACUUUGAAACAACGUGGCAACUGAAUGGUGGUGCAGUUAAACGCAUUUUCCUAAUCAGCAGUUUUCCUUUCGAAAUGAAAACGGUUGGCGUGUACUUGUGCUUCCUUUUCUUUUUCUUUUAUUUUUGUUUUAUUUUUUAUUUUUUUUUAUUAACAUGCAUGUCCAGGUCAUCUUAUGUGCAACUUGACUAAUCUCACGGACCCUAAAGUUAAUAACUAUAUAAACCUCUAGUGGUCCUGAGGUUUGUAGGACCCGAAUGAGUGACCUCUAGAGAGCAAAUUUAGGAUCUGACCAGUUAAGCUAUACCCCUCAGAUUUAUUUUUUUAGUUUUUAUUCCAUAGUAAAAGGUAUUUUUUAUUAGUUUAUAUGUUAAUCAAGAUUGAGUUUUUUUAUUCAGAUGAUUUUAAAGAUAAAUAAUUUAAAGUUAUGAAUCAUCGAAUAAUCCAUUUAAAGUUAUAAAGUUGUGAUGUGUCUUAAAUCAAAUAAAAACUAUACUAGAUUAUUGACUUGUAUUAUGCUACAGGCUAGGUUAAAUUUUUUAUAAAUAUAAAAAAAUUAUUUAGAUAUUGUUAAUGUUUUUUUUCCAGUGAAAAAAUCUAAAUCACUGGAAGAUUGACCUGAUAUAACCAUAGUUAUAAAACCCGACCUGGUAGUUGACCCGGUAAAAUAACCGGGUCUCAGGUCUUGGGGGUCAACCCCUCUCCUUAAAUAUAAGGAUUAAAGAAAUCAAACUGCUAUAUCAUCCCUAAACCGCAAAACCCAGUGAUAAAUUGCUUGCAUUUCCUAUCCAUUUUUAGCAUAAGCAGCCGAAUGAAGAUGAAAAUACUUGUGUAACUAAAAUUUAAGUAGUAGAUCAAAAAUAGAAUGGUACUAGUAAAUGAGUGACUAUGAACUAUUAAAUAGAUUUAUUUAAUGUAUUAUAAAACUACCCUGUCUGUUUUCAAUUUAAUUAAUUUCUCCAUAGUUAUGAUCACUAAAACCCAUAAAGAUUUGUGAAUUUGAAGAAGAAAAUAAUAUUAUUUAACCUUUUUGUAAUUUAGGUUUAUAAUAAAAUUACAUUCCAACCAUGCUUUUAAAAAAAUUAAACUUUUUUUUAGCUUUAAUUUUUUUUUGUUCUUUAAUCGUUUUGAUAUGUUAAUUUAAAAAAAAUAUAAAAACAAAUUAUUUUGAUAUAUUUUUAAAUAAAAAAACAUCUCAAUUAUAUUUCUAAACAAGCGCAUGCUUGGAUUUGUAUGUUGAAAAUUCAUAGUUUUUAAACUCGGUCCGGUCCAAGAUCCGGGUUCCGGGUUUUGACCGGGUCACCAAGUCAUCCGGGUCAAUUUUUUUAAAAUCAAAAUGACUUUGUUUUAGUAAAAACAAGUUAACGGGUUGCAACCGGGUUUUGCCGCGUCACCUAGGUUGCCGGGUCAACUCAUGUUUUUUCUUUUUUAAAUCUGAUCCAGUUCUAACUUCGAAUUAGCUGGGUUUUGGAUCAAUUUGUCAAGACAGACGGGUUCUAAACUAUGAUUGAAGUUACUAUGUUUUCUAGUUUCCUUUUGUCCUUUUUACCUCACAUUUUUAAUCCUCAUGGUUCUCUUGCUUUGGAAAUGGAUGGCGAUGGCUUUAGUCAAUGCACUAGUUACAUGACCCGCGCGAUGCCGCGGGUCAAUGGUUUUUGCAUAAAAAAUAUCAAAAAAAAAUUAAAAUCUAAAAGUAUUAGGUUUUUUUGCAAAAUUAUACCCAAGAGUCUUGGGUGUGGCUGCAACGCCUGACCCAAGAGUAAUAUUUAUAAUAUUAAUAAUAACAUUAAACUUGUAUGACCCAAGUUUAAGUGGGUCUGACUGCAAUACCAGACCCAAUAGUCUUGGAUGUGGGUUUGGCUGCAAGGUCGUGUCAUAAAAGUGUGUUAAUUAAAUAGAUUAAUUAAAAAGAAAAAAACCAAAAGGAAGAAAAAAACUAAUAAAGAAAAAGAAAAAAAUCUGAAUUAACUGGGUUAACCCUUCAAACCAGGUUAACCCAUCACACCUUGGAUUCGUGUCGUGAAAGUUUGAUAACUAAAUAGAAAAAAAAUUGACAGGUUAACACAAAAUUAACUAGGCUAACCCGUCAAACCCGGGAUCCGUGUCAUGAAAGUUUGAUAACUAAAUUAAACGAAAAAAAUUAAUUAAAAAGAAAAAAAAAACAAACAAAAAGGCAUCACCCUUUUCACUGUGGACUCAGUAUGCAGUCUACAGUUAAAGACAUAAAAACAGCAAAAAAGCAAAAAGAAAAAAAAAACUAAAAGCAUCAGUCGAUAACUAAAUAGAAAAAAAUUUAAUAUUGAUGAACUAAAUUAAAUAAAAAAAAUUAAAUAAAAAGAAACAAUAAAAGAAAAAAAACUUAUAAGAAGAAAAAAACUAAUGAAGAAAAAGAAAAAAAAUCUAAAUUAACUGGGUUAACCCGUCAAACCUGAGAUCCGUGUCAUGAAAGUCUGAUAACUAAAUAGAAAAAAAUUUAAUAUCAACAAACUAAAUAAAAAAAUUAAUUAAAAAGAAAAAAAAGAAGGCAUAAGCUUUUUCACCGUGGACUGCACUGUGCAGUCCACAGUAAAAGGCAUAAAAAAAAAAAGAAACUAAAGGCAUCAGCUUUUUCACCGUGGACUGCACUGUGCACUCCACAGUAAAAGGCAUUAAAAAAAAGCAAAAAAAAAAAAACUAAAGGCUUCAGCCUUUUCACUGUAGACUGCAUAUAAUAUUAAAAUAUGAAAUCGAAAGAACAAAACUAAUGAGGAAAAAGAAAAAAAAUCUGAAUCAACCGGGUUAACCCGCCAAAUUAGGUUAACCUGUCAAACCUGGAAUUCGUGUCAUGAAAGUGUGAUAACUAAAUAGAAAAAAGAUUUAUUAUUAAUGAAAUAAAUUAAAAAAGAGAUUAAUUAAAAAGGAAAAAGCAAAUAGAAAAAAAUACCUACAGGAAGAAAAAAAACUAAUCAAGAAAAAGAAAAAAAAUCUGAAUAAACUGGGUUAACCUGUCAAACCUGGGAUCCAUGUCAUGAAAGUCUGAUAAUUAAAUAGAAAAAAUUUAAUAUUAAGAAACUAAAUUUAAAAAAAAAUAAUUAAAAAAAAGAAAAAAAAAUUAAAGGCAUUAGUUUUUUCACUGUGGAUUGUACUGUGCAAUCCACAGUAAAUAAUAUACGAAACCAUCAAACUUAUUUGAAACAAUAAAUAAUUAAGUUAUUAUAUGAAUAUUAAUUGAAUAUAAAUAAUUAAGUUAUUUGAAACAAUAAACAAUAAAAGGACAUGAGAGGAUGAAUAUGAAUUGAAUCCUAACUCCACUCUAAAACUAAUAGUUUCUAAUACUACUUUUCAUUUCAUUAGUAACUUAUUCAGUGGCGGAGCCACAGCUAGGUAAGAGGAGGGUAAUUGCCUUUUUAAUUUUUUUUAAAGUAUUGUUUUAUAUUAAAAUAUUAAUAUAAUAGCUUUAUAGUGUUAAUUUUCUUUAUUAGCUACUAAUUGAUCCAAGCUUUUGUAUAAUUAUUAUUAUCCUUGUCUUUCUCUUUUUAUAAAAUUUAUCUUCAAGCCAUAAACUAUUAAUUAAUUAAGUAAAUAGAUUCUUAUAUUUUAUAUUUUAGGGAAGUUUUCUUUAUUUUUUCUAUUUGUUUCAUUAUCUAAUUUUAGUUUUAUUUCUUUAUAAUUAGUUACUAAAAAUAUUGGGGUUUAUAAUAAUUUAUGAGUUUAUUGAAUUAAUAUGUGUAUAGGUAAUAUUAUAUGCUAAUGGAUAUGAAUUGAAAUGAGUUUUGAUGAAUUGAUAAGUAUUUUGUUAUGAAUUUCAUAUGAAAAAUGAUGGUGAUGAAUUUACUAGUAAUUAAAAAUGAAGUACAUGACAACUAAAAAAAUUAGAAACAUAAUAGAUAAAUUAAAAAGAAAACAUUUAAUAUUUAUGUUUAAUUUAGACGGCUACUGAAUUCACCUUCACUAAAAUCAAUCUCCUUCACUUGCAAUGCAUGCGGCACUGAUGGAGAUGACUCCCUAUUAGUGUGCACCAUGUGCCAAAUCUUGGUCCACGAAAAAUGCAUUUCAUUGCCACGCACCCUUAAAACGGUACUGCACCAUCAUCCCCAUAUCAUCCACACCUAUCAUCCUCAACAAUGUAUCAAAUCUAUAAACAAGUACUGUGGAAUUUGCCGUCGGGAAGUUGACACAGAAUACGGAGUUUACUAUUGCCCAGACUGUGACUUUGUUGCACACGUGAAUUGUAGCAGAGAAUAUGGCGAUUCUGCAACAGAGAUUGUAGAAGAAAACGAAGAAGAGCAAAGUGUGACUGCUGAUGAUCAAUUCAUGGAACCUAGCUUUCGCGUUGUCCGUGAGAUCAAGCAUGGAGAUGAGAGAAUAAUUGAAGAGAUCGAACAUUUCAGUCAUCAACAUAACCUAAUCCUUAUUGACAAGGUUGAUGAUGAUCUAAAGUGUGAUGGGUGCAUGUUACCAAUCUCCACUCCAUUUUAUAGUUGUGCCAGUUGUAAUUUCUUUCUUGACAAAACCUGCAUAGAAUUACCCAGGCGAAAAAAAUGGCAAUAUCACGAAAACCAACUGAUUCUUUCAUGGAGCCGAGGGCCACAUGAUCUGUUCUACUGUGAUGUGUGUAAGCAAUAUUUUCGUGGGCUCAGGUACAAAUGUGAUGUAUGUGCACUCUGGAUUGAUGUCCGAUGCUAAUCAUUGGAAGAUUCCACUAAACAUGGAGGUCAUGAGCAUCCCCUUUAUCUUCCAACGGGCAGAAAGAGUAUUCUCCGUUGCCGUAUUGGAGUUCGCGGGCAUCCCCCUUUGCUUGCAGAUGACACAGAGAUUAUUCCCCAUUGCGGUGGCUGUUGUGUCAGUGAAGAAUCAAAGGUAUUUUUUAAAUGUGCGGUUUGCGAUUUCAAGCUGGGUAUGAAAUGUGCUACACUGCCAUACAAAGCAAGACACGAGUAUGAUGAGCAUCCUCUCUUCCUCACCUACAUGAAUGAAAAUGACUACCAACCUUCCUGUAUAAUUUGUGAAAAAGAUAGAGACCCAAAGCUCUGGUUCUACCGUUGUGAG